UACGUAGGGUCCGAGCGUUGUCCGGAAUUAUUGGGCGUAAAGAGCUCGUAGGCGGUCUGUCGCGUCGGAUGUGAAAACCCAGGGCUCAACCCUGGGCCUGCAUUCGAUACGGGCAGACUAGAGUUCGGUAGGGGAGACUGGAAUUCCUGGUGUAGCGGUGAAAUGCGUAGAUAUCAAGAGGAACACCUGCGGCGAAGGCGGGUUGCUGGGCCGACACUGACGCUGAGGCGCGAAAGCUAGGGGAGCGAACAGG
rnacentral:rRNA from 1 species